GGAGAGGUGGCCGAGUGGCUGAAGGCACAGGUUUGCUAAACCUGCGUAGGGUGUAAGCCUUACCGAGGGUUCGAAUCCCUCCCUCUCCG
rnacentral:tRNA from 1 species